rnacentral:ncRNA from 1 species
CCGGGUCGGUGCAGACACCCGGCCUUCAGGACACUUCGUCUCAAGCGCUGC